rnacentral:rRNA from 1 species
GAUGAACGCUAGCUACAGGCUUAACACAUGCAAGUCGAGGGGUAACGAGAGAAAAGCUUGCUUUCCUUGUCGACGACCGGCGCACGGGUGAGUAACGCGUAUCCAACCUACCCCAACUAGGGAAUAACCUUGCGAAAGUAAGACUAAUACCCUAUAAUUUCCUCAGAUGCCAUCUGACGAGGAAUAAAGAUUUAUCGGUUGUGGAUGGGGAGGCGUCUGAUUAGCUUGUUGGCGGGGUAACGGCCCACCAAGGCAACGAUCAGUAGGGGUUCUGAGAGGAAGGUCCCCCACAUUGGAACUGAGACACGGUCCAAACUCCUACGGGAGGCAGCAGUGAGGAAUAUUGGUCAAUGGGCGGAAGCCUGAACCAGCCAAGUAGCGUGCAGGAUGACGGCCCUAUGGGUUGUAAACUGCUUUUAUACAGGAAUAAAGUUAGCCACGUGUGGUUAUUUGUAGGUACUGUAUGAAUAAGGACCGGCUAAUUCCGUGCCAGCCGCCGCGUAA